rnacentral:tRNA from 1 species
GGGGUUGUGGCUCAGUGGUAGAGUGCUUUCCUGGAAUGUGUGAGGCCCUGGGUUCAAUCCUCAGCACCA